AGCGAACGCUGGCGGCAGGCCUAAAACAUGCAAGUCGAACGGAUCCUUCGGGAUUAGUGGCGGACGGGUGAGUAACACGUGGGAACGUGCCUUUUGGUUCGGAACAACUCAGGGAAACUUGAGCUAAUACCGAAUGUGCCCUUCGGGGAAAGAUUUAUCGCCAUUAGAGCGGCCCGCGUCUGAUUAGCUUGUUGGUGAGGUAAAGGCUCACCAAGGCGACGAUCAGUAGCUGGUCUGAGAGGAUGAUCAGCCACACUGGGACUGAGACACGGCCCAGACUCCUACGGGAGGCAGCAGUUAGGAAUCUUGCGCAAUGGGGGAAACCCUGACGCAGCCAUGCCGCGUGAAUGAUGAAGGUCUUAGGAUUGUAAAAUUCUUUCAGCGGGGACGAUAAUGACGGUACCCGCAGAAGAAGCCCCGGCUAACUUCGUGCCAGCAGCCGCGGUAAU
rnacentral:rRNA from 1 species